GGGAAUGGAGGACUAUAAUUGAUUAGACAUUCCAGUAUAUUAUAAUUCUUUUUGCCGCCUGACCAAGGCAUGUCUUGAGAAUAGGGUAAUUAGUGUUAGGGAGACCCACUGCAUCUUAGGGCAUCCCACAAAAAAGUAUGUCUCUCUCUACAAAAAUUCCCUAACUCUUCACUUCCUCUUCCCUACAUCUUUUCCUCAAAAUAUGCUAAGUUUACUAACGUAAGCAUCGAAGGGUCUUUGGUUGACACACACCGGUGCCACCAUGAUCCCAUCUUCUUCUCCUCUUGCAAAUAAUUG
rnacentral:lncRNA from 1 species